rnacentral:misc_RNA from 1 species
UGUGGGAGCGAGCUUGCUCGCGAUGGCGGUGUGUCAGUCAAUAUCAGUAUUGACUGAUCGGCCGCUAUCGCGAGCAAGCUCGCUCCCACA